rnacentral:rRNA from 1 species
UACGGAAUCUUCCGCAAUGGGCGAAAGCCUGACGGAGCAACGCCGCGUGAGUGAUGAAGGUCUUCGGAUCGUAAAACUCUGUUAUUAGGGAAGAACAAAUGUGUAAGUAACUAUGCACGUCUUGACGGUACCUAAUCAGAAAGCCACGGCUAACUACGUGCCAGCAGCCGCGGUAAUACGUAGGUGGCAAGCGUUAUCCGGAAUUAUUGGGCGUAAAGCGCGCGUAGGCGGUUUUUUAAGUCUGAUGUGAAAGCCCACGGCUCAACCGUGGAGGGUCAUUGGAAACUGGAAAACUUGAGUGCAGAAGAGGAAAGUGGAAUUCCAUGUGUAGCGGUGAAAUGCGCAGAGAUAUGGGGGAACACCAGUGGCGAAGGCGACUUUCUGGUCUGUAACUGACGCUGAUGUGCGAAAGCGUGGGGAUCAAACAGG